rnacentral:rRNA from 1 species
UACGUAGGGGGCAAGCGUUAUCCGGAUUUACUGGGCGUAAAGCGCGUGUAGGUGGUUGCGCAAGUUGGUUGUGAAAUCUCCCGGCUCAACCGGGAAACUGCAGCCAAUACUGCGUGGCUAGAGUGGCAGAGAGGAAAGUGGAAUUCCCGGUGUAGUAGUGAAAUGCGUAGAUAUCGGGAGGAACACCAGCGGCGAAGGCGACUUUCUGGCUGCCAACUGACACUGAGACGCGAAAGCUAGGGGAGCGAACGGG